rnacentral:rRNA from 1 species
UGGUGGAGUGAUUUGUCUGGUUAAUUCCGUUAACGAACGAGACCCUAGCCUGCUAACUAGUCGCGGCGAUCUCGAUCGUCGUCGACUUCUUAGAGGGACUUUGUGGCACUAAACACAAGGAAGUUUGAGGCAAUAACA